UAUCUUUGGUUGUGAUACGGCUGCUUCGUACAACAACGUAGUACAGCACUGCGUCUACUCUAGCAGUAGUAUUGGUAGUCUGCUACUGCGCGAUGUGUAAGUUACGUGAGAGAGCAUGAGAAUGAAUUUUCUUGGUGUCUGUCAAUAAUGUGCCAGACAUAAAUCUGACGUAAUUUUCUAUUAUUGUUUAGUGUUGUUUGUCGAAUUCAGACGCGUUGAAAUUGGUGAGUCGGGGUGUAGUGUGUCACGACACGUUUGUUCACGUUGUAAUUGUUGUUUACAUCGUAAUUUACGGAAGUUUUAUGAUGUCCAGCAUAUCAACCUAACCCUAAAUACCAGUAAGAAAUGAGCUUUCCAUUUCGUGGUAUUUAUUACUUUGAACUAUUUUCUGAAAGAUGGCAGGGAAUGAAAACACGACGACUGUGCAGGUGAAGGUGGAGAAACCUGAUGAGACUGCUUCCACGUCAACUGCAGAAGUUGAACACAGGGUUAUUGCCUUGGCACAGAAAAUACCAAAGGGCAUUUCUGACAAAGAUAUACAAAAUGAAAUGCCGGAUUUGCAGCCGCAACAGAGAGCCACUGUAAUAAACAAGUUACUUGCACAGGGAUUUUUUGAUCUCUUCAAUCAAAAAGGAACACUACUGUACAAAUUGAAAGACCCGUCAAAAAAUCAGAAUGUUAAAGGUGCUGACAAUGAAGAAAAAGUGGUUUACAGAAUCAUUGAAGAGGCUGGAAACAAAGGAAUCUGGAUCAGAGAUAUAAGACAUAAAUCCAAUUUGAUACUCACACAGCUUAAUAAGAUAUUGAAAAACCUGGAAAAUAAGAAACUAAUCAAAGCUGUGAAAUCGGUAUCUGCAAGCAAGAAAAAAGUUUAUAUGCUUUAUAAUCUGGAGCCAGAUCGUUCAGUCACAGGUGGAGCCUGGUAUUGUGAUCAGGAUUUUGAAGCAGAGUUCGUUGAUGUGCUAAAUCAGCAGUGCUAUAGGUUUUUAUUAACCAAGACUGAAGCUGCAAAGGAAUGCAAAGGAGGGCCAAUAGCAGCAAGAAAUAUUUCGUAUGCUUCAUCAAAGGAUGUAUGGAAAUAUAUAAAUGACCUGGGCAUCAGCAAAGGUAUGGGUGUACCAUGUACAUCUCAGCGUGACAGAAAAAGUUCUACUCUAGCAUUUGCAGUGAAGCUAGUAAGCCACCACUUAUUAUGUGACUGCAACUCCUGACCGUGCACCACAUUUUAAAACCAAGCGGACCAAAAUGUCUCCAGCAUCCAUAACAUUGCUCAGCUACCAACAGACAGACAGUACCACAAAUUUGCAGCAAGCAGGCGCUUUGAUAGAUACUGUCCAAUUAUCAGUGGAAGAUAUGGAAACGAUUUUGGAUACUCUGUUAUAUGAUGGAAAAGUUGAACGUUCGCUAUCUGCUGAGGGAAAUUUUCUAUACAGAGCCAUUAAAAGUUUGCUACCUCCACCAGGAA